rnacentral:rRNA from 1 species
UACAGAGGGGGCAAGCGUUGUUCGGAAUUACUGGGCGUAAAGGCGCGUAGGCGGCCUGCUAAGUCGAACGUGAAAUCCCUGGGCUCAACCCAGGAACUGCGUCCGAUACUGGUUGGCUUGAAUCCGGGAGAGGGAUGUGGAAUUCCAGGUGUAGCGGUGAAAUGCGUAGAUAUCUGGAGGAACACCGGUGGCGAAGGCGACAUCCUGGACCGGUAUUGACGCUGAGGCGCGAAAGCGUGGGGAGCGAACAGG